UAUUUUUGUUCCGCUUUUGGUGAUGUUCUCAGUCGUCCGGCUGAGCAUAAAGGGAAUCCGGUGAAAUUCCGGAACAGUGCCCGCUACUGUAACAUCCGUUUGUCGAAAGUUCACUACUGCCACUGUCACUCGUACGGGAAGGCGGACUUUCGGGAUGAAGUCAGGAAACCUGCCAAAAUAAAAAUGUGGUAU
rnacentral:ncRNA from 21 species